UCGCAGUGAUGUGAGCAUCUUGCUGAAUCAGAUCAGAAGUGCAUACACGGGAACUUUUUAACUCUGAGCAGU
rnacentral:snoRNA from 1 species